rnacentral:rRNA from 1 species
UACGAAGGGUGCAAACGUUGCUCGGAAUCACUGGGCGUAAAGCGCACGUAGGCGGAUCUUUAAGUCAGGGGUGAAAUCCCAAGGCUCAACCUUGGAACUGCCUUUGAUACUGGGGAUCUCGAGUCCGGAAGAGGUUGGUGGAACUGCGAGUGUAGAGGUGAAAUUCGUAGAUAUUCGCAAGAACACCAGUGGCGAAGGCGGUUGCCUGGAGCUUUGCUGACGCUGAGGCGCGAAAGCGUGGGGAGCGAUCCGG